rnacentral:lncRNA from 1 species
UUGGUUUGACCACACUUAUCGCCUAGGAAAACGUUUCCUACGAUCUAGCCCCUGCCAAGAGGAUGUUCUAAACUCAAGACCUCCAAGUCUUAGUGAAGACUCUGUGUAUCUCGUUGGUGGUACGACACCAAGAGAUGACUUUCCUUGUUACAAAAACAACACAUAAAAUAGAGUAAUGUGAUGCACAAAAUGGCUCAGAUAUUACAAUUAAGAACAAGCUAUAAACCCUAGACAAAUGUCACAAAUUAUCAAGAAUAUGGAUAAGAUCAUAAUCUUGAAGAAACAUGUAUGUUCUACCCUACGAAAUCUCUAAAAGAAAUAAAAUAAUCAUGCAAGGAAAGAUAGAAUGAUGAACACAUUUAAUCACAUGCAAUGGAUGACAUUUUAAUCCCUAAGCAUGCUACUUUCUCUCACUAUUCUCAAAUGCAAUUCUCUCUGCCUAUAUGACACACAAUGAGCACGA